CCCUUGGUAGUCUAGUUGGUUAUGGCGUUCGGCUGUAAUUGUAAAGAAUUGUAUACCGAAAAGUCACCGGUUCGAUUCCGGUCCGAGGGA